UAAAUAGGUCCAUUUUCAAUUUUUAUUCACCUUGAUCUACAAGCCUGUAUGCUAGCUUCCAACUAUAACGUUUAGCUAGGCAUUUUCCUGAACUUCGGAUUUUAGGGCCUUUGAUAGGUUGGACUUCGAAUAAUGUAGGCCUUGUUGGCCCAUUAAUGAAGUGCAUGGGAUAAGGUCCAGGGUACUCAUGCCGAUGUCACAUGUGGAAAAAAAAAAGAUAAAGAUUAGCAUGCGUAGGUAGACCUAAAUAAACACGAUGCAACAAUAAGAGAACGAUUCAUGCUUAGGUUGUUUUAACACGCAGUUAAACACAUUGUUAACCAUAACAAAUUACAAUUCGGUGACUGGAGCAAUUUUAAAUAAAGAAAUGCAUCUUCUCAAUCCAAAUUUACGCAAACAAAGUGUGAUGUGAUUGUAAAUAUCCAAUUAACUUUUUCACCAACAGGUUUAAUCAUUUGCUCAAAAUGUCAAAAUUUUUCUUACAAACCUUCUCUUCCAAAGAGGCAAAGCAAACUCUCCACGAAUAACACGUGAGCUUGGAUUAUUUGCAAUAUCGAACAAAGGAGGAAAUGAUUAAAAUGCUACGACAUAUUAAUGCAAAGAUUAGUUCAGACUUAAGAUAUAUUAACUAGAAGAUAUACCAAUUGCUACGGAAGUUUGGGAAUCAAUUUUGAAAUUAGAGAUUACGGACAGAGUGAUAGGCCGAAAUCCUGUCUGGGAAGAUCGCCCAAACUUCAAGUUAAACACACAGGCAUGCCGACAAUUGUUACGUCGGCAAAACAAAUUAAUGCGACCACCUCACUCAUUCUAAAAUACAUACAAAUUUAUCUACAACAGGAUAUAUGAUGAGGUGCGACAUGUCAAUCAAGCUAACAUUUGAGAAACUCUAAUGGUUCUUCACAGUAGAUGGAAUUUCAGAUAGCAAAUACAGGGAAAAUUUUCAAUGCGAUGCAACAGACACAAGGAAAGAAAAAUAAGGUCAUACGAGAUAAUAUAUUGAUUCUAGGCCUAUCAUAGGUUCAUUUUUAGCCAACCAAAAAUGGGUGUUUUGAAGGGAAAAAUUCAGCUUAAGCUCAACCUCAUAUGCUUCAAACCCAUUAAUGGAAUUUUGGAAUAAAGCUGAGCCAUGAGCAAGGCAUACUUUAUCCAAAUUCCCAACUCUACUCCCACCUCAAACCACUUAUAGAAAUCGAUCAACAAAGGGAUGUGAACGUAGAGGUAAUAGCAUCUAAACAUAGAAACAUACACCCUCAACUUGACUAGUCACGUUAGACCAUGACAAAAGAGAUCAUCGAGGGUUCAUCAGACUAGAACCUUGCCUCAUUCUACGUAUAAUUUCAUUUAUCCUAAUUGAAGUCAUGAAUCGAAAGAUCAUACAAUGAACUGUCCGUUUAACACAGAUUUAAAGAGACGAUUGUAGGCACGUUUCUUUAAUCAAGAUAAAAGAGAGCAUUUAGGCUUCACUUAUUAAUAAAACAAGCAGAAACCAUGUCAAACACAACACCUGUGGACGAUAUAUUGGUAACUAAACAAAGCAUGGAUGAUGUUUCAUUUAGAAAAAGACCUAUAAGACUAAAGCAAAACCAAACCAUUCCCACAGUAAUAGAACAAACCACCAGUCGCAAGAUGAAAAGAAAGAAAUUGAGGGAAGAAGUCACAAAACGCAAAUCGAAAUGAACAAGUAGCUUACCUUUUUUGGAGCAGCAAAUCAGAAUACGACCUUCGUCGGAGUUUCUCUACCACCGUCGGAAUGAACUUAGAUUCUUAGCCUAGAAAUCUGAACUCAAACGAGUCUUAUCAAAUUUCGUGACACCGGAAUCCUUUUUCGAAUAGCAAAAUCCCAUGCUUUUUCGGGGUUCCCGCUAUCCCACCUUCUUUUUACACUAAGAAUAGCAGUGUAUUUAUAGGAAGGGAUUUGAGCUUGAUUUUCAGCUUCUACCAAUGUGGGAUGCGGGAAAAUCAGGGGCGUUUUGGGAAUUUUGUAAAGGAAAAAUUCAAAAUUUGAAAAGAGGAUCAGAUUAUGAGUUGGAUUUGUACGAAUUCUUAGCUGUUGUUACCGUUGAAGCUUAGCCAGAAUUGGGUCGGUUUGCACUACUUUUGCAACUGAUUCGGACUGCUUAUGGGUUUGUGUCGAGAUCCGGUUACUGGGUUUUGCCAGAAUCAGUUGUUAUCGUUGAUGUUGUUGGUUGGGUUUGUUCGGCUGUGUUGUUGUUUGUUCGAUCUUCUUGUUGUGCAAUGAAGGUUGGGUUGAUAUCGUUGUUUGUUGAAGCCGAUAUUGUCGUUUGUUGUUAAUCGGGUAGGGUAAGGCUGAAAAAGGAGUGGGGAAA
rnacentral:lncRNA from 1 species